rnacentral:rRNA from 1 species
UACGUAGGGUGCAAGCGUUAAUCGGAAUUACUGGGCGUAAAGCGUGCGCAGGCGGUUUGCUAAGACAGGUGUGAAAUCCCCGGGCUUAACCUGGGAACUGCGCUUGUAACUGGCAAGCUGGAGUGUGGCAGAGGGGGGUGGAAUUCCGACGUGUAGCAGUGAAAUGCGUAGAGAUGUGGAGGAACACCGAUGGCGAAGGCAGCCCCCUGGGCUAACACUGACGCUCAUGCACGAAAGCGUGGGGAGCAAACGGG